GUGGAAAGUUAUGGUGUUGUUGCUUCUACUGCAAGUACAACAGAUGUGGAUCUCAAUCCCAAAGACUUCACCCUUGGUAUGUUGUUUAAUCAUUCUACUUUUGAGAGAAGCAGCAUCUAAAAUCAGUGAGCAAGUGUUACAUUUUACCAAGAGUAGGGCUUAUUUAUGUGGGGUGCAGCGCUUCGUAUCUGUAAAGAAAGGCGCUUUAUAAAUGACCAGAUUGGAUUUGAUUGGAUUUACAGUGACAGGUAAUAUACAAGACAAAGAACAGCUUCAAUAUCAUUUAAUUCAUUUCCGCUUGAAAUAUUAAUAAAAGAAAAGAAAGAAGAAAGAUAUUAUGUUUAUGAUACAAAUAAAAUGUACAA